AUCCAGCUGACGAGUCCCAAAUAGGACGAAAUGCGUUUUAUCUUGGAU
rnacentral:hammerhead_ribozyme from 1 species